UACGUAGGGUGCAAGCGUUGUCCGGAAUUAUUGGGCGUAAAGGGCUCGUAGGCGGUUUGUCGCGUCGGGAGUGAAACCUCGGGCUUAACUCGGGGCUUGCUUUCGAUACGGGCAGACUAGAGGUAUGCAGGGGAGAACGGAAUUCCUGGUGUAGCGGUGAAAUGCGCAGAGUAUCGGGAAGAACACCCGUGGCGAAGGCGAGGCGCUGGACCCUUUCUGACGCUGAGGCGCGAAAAGCCAGGGGAGCAAACGGG
rnacentral:rRNA from 1 species